rnacentral:rRNA from 1 species
ACGGGUGAGUAACACGUAGGUAACCUACCCUUCAGUGGGGGACAACAGAGGGAAACUUCUGCUAAUACCGCAUACGAUCACGGACUGGGAUGUUCGUGGUGAAAGGAUUUAUUCGCUGAGGGAUGGGCCCGCGGCCUAUCAGGUAGUUGGUGGGGUAAUGGCCUACCAAGCCUGCGACGGGUAGCCGGACUGAGAGGUCGAUCGGCCACACUGGAACUGAGACACGGUCCAGACUCCUACGGGAGGCAGCAGUGGGGAAUAUUGCACAAUGGGGGAAACCCUGAUGCAGCGACGCCGCGUGGAGGAUGACGGCCUUCGGGUUGUAAACUCCUUUUGCCGGGGACAAUGGUGAUGGUACCCGACGAAUAAGCCACGGCUAACUCUGUGCCAGCAGCCGCGGUAAGACAGAGGUGGCGAGCGUUGUUCGGAAUUACUGGGCUUAAAGGGCGCGUAGGCGGUGGUGUAAGUCUAGGGUGGAAUGCUACAGCUCAACUGUAGAGCUGCCUUGGAAACUGCAUUACUUGAGUCGGUGAGGGGAAGGUGGAAUUCCAGGU